GACGAACGCUGGCGGCGUGCCUAAUACAUGCAAGUCGAGCGAAGUUUUUCUGGUGCUUGCACCGGAAAAACUUAGCGGCGAACGGGUGAGUAACACGUAAAGAACCUGCCUCAUAGACUGGGACAACUAUUGGAAACGAUAGCUAAUACCGGAUAACAGCAUUAACUGCAUGGUUGAUGUUUAAAAGUUGGUUUUGCUAACACUAUGAGAUGGCUUUGCGGUGCAUUAGCUAGUUGGUGGGGUAAAGGCCUACCAAGGCGACGAUGCAUAGCCGACCUGAGAGGGUGAUCGGCCACACUGGGACUGAGACACGGCCCAGACUCCUACGGGAGGCAGCAGUAGGGAAUCUUCCGCAAUGGGCGAAAGCCUGACGGAGCAACGCCGCGUGAGUGAAGAAGGAUUUCGGUUCGUAAAGCUCCGUUGUUAGGGAAGAAUGAUUGUGUAGUAACUAUACACAGUAGAGACGGUACCUAACCAGAAAGCCACGGCUAACUACGUG
rnacentral:rRNA from 1 species